rnacentral:tRNA from 1 species
GUCCCCAUAGCUCAGCUGGUAGAGCAUUCGACUGUUAAUCGAAGGGUCAGAGGUCCGAGUCCUCUUGGGGACG